GAUGAACGCUGGCGGCGUGCCUAAUACAUGCAAGUCGAGCGAACGGGCGAGAAGCUUGCUUUUCUGAUGUUAGCGGCGGACGGGUGAGUAACACGUGGAUAACCUACCUAUAAGACUGGGAUAACUUCGGGAAACCGGAGCUAAUACCGGAUAAUAUUUUGAACCGCAUGGUUCAAAAGUGAAAGACGGUCUUGCUGUCACUUAUAGAUGGAUCCGCGCUGCAUUAGCUAGUUGGUAAGGUAACGGCUUACCAAGGCAACGAUGCAUAGCCGACCUGAGAGGGUGAUCGGCCACACUGGAACUGAGACACGGUCCAGACUCCUACGGGAGGCAGCAGUAGGGAAUCUUCCGCAAUGGGCGAAAGCCUGACGGAGCAACGCCGCGUGAGUGAUGAAGGUCUUCGGAUCGUAAAACUCUGUUAUUAGGGAAGAACAUAUGUGUAAGUAACUGUGCACAUCUUGACGGUACCUAAUCAGAAAGCCACGGCUAACUACGUG
rnacentral:rRNA from 1 species